rnacentral:rRNA from 1 species
UGGGGAUAUUGCACAAUGGAGGAAACUCUGAUGCAGCAACGCCGCGUGAGGGAAGAAGGUCUUCGGAUUGUAAACCUUUGUUUUGGUGACGAACAAAUGACGGUAGCCAAAGAGGAAGCCACGGCUAACUACGUGCCAGCAGCCGCGGUAAUACGUAGGUGGCAAGCGUUGUCCGGAUUUACUGGGUGUAAAGGGAGCGCAGGCGGGACAGCAAGUUGGAUGUGAAAUACCGGAGCUUAACUCCGGAGCUGCAUCCAAAACUGUUGUUCUUGAGUGAAGUAGAGGUUGGCGGAAUUCCGAGUGUAGCGGUGAAAUGCGUAGAUAUUCGGAGGAACACCAGUGGCGAAGGCGGCCAACUGGGCUUUAACUGACGCUGAGGCUCGAAAGCAUGGGGAGCAAACAGGAUUAGAUACCCUGGUAGU